AGACCCGAAACCCGGUGAUCUAGCCAUGGGCAGGUUGAAGGUUGGGUAACACUAACUGGAGGACCGAACCGACUAAUGUUGAAAAAUUAGCGGAUGACUUGUGGCUGGGGGUGAAAGGCCAAUCAAACCGGGAGAUAGCUGGUUCUCCCCGAAAGCUAUUUAGGUAGCGCCUCGUGAAUUCAUCUCCGGGGGUAGAGCACUGUUUCGGCAAGGGGGUCAUCCCGACUUACCAACCCGAUGCAAACUGCGAAUACCGGAGAAUGUUAUCACGGGAGACACACGGCGGGUGCUAACGUCCGUCGUGAAGAGGGAAACAACCCAGACCGCCAGCUAAGGUCCCAAAGUCAUGGUUAAGUGGGAAACGAUGUGGGAAGGCCCAGACAGCCAGGAUGUUGGCUUAGAAGCAGCCAUCAUUUAAAGAAAGCGUAAUAGCUCACUGGUCGAGUCGGCCUGCGCGGAAGAUGUAACGGGGCUAAACCAUGCACCGAAGCUGCGGCAGCGACACUAUGUGUUGUUGGGUAGGGGAGCGUUCUGUAAGCCUGUGAAGGUGUACUGUGAGGUAUGCUGGAGGUAUCAGAAGUGCGAAUGCUGACAUAAGUAACGAUAAAGCGGGUGAAAAGCCCGCUCGCCGGAAGACCAAGGGUUCCUGUCCAACGUUAAUCGGGGCAGGGUGAGUCGACCCCUAAGGCGAGGCCGAAAGGCGUAGUCGAUGGGAAACAGGUUAAUAUUCCUGUACUUGGUGUUACUGCGAAGGGGGGACGGAGAAGGCUAUGUUGGCCGGGCGACGGUUGUCCCGGUUUAAGCGUGUAGGCUGGUUUUCCAGGCAAAUCCGGAAAAUCAAGGCUGAGGCGUGAUGACGAGGCACUACGGUGCUGAAGCGACAAAUGCCCUGCUUCCAGGAAAAGCCUCUAAGCAUCAGGUAACAUCAAAUCGUACCCCAAACCGACACAGGUGGUCAGGUAGAGAAUACCAAGGCGCUUGAGAGAACUCGGGUGAAGGAACUAGGCAAAAUGGUGCCGUAACUUCGGGAGAAGGCACGCUGAUAUGUAGGUGAAGCGACUUGCUCGUGGAGCUGAAAUCAGUCGAAGAUACCAGCUGGCUGCAACUGUUUAUUAAAAACACAGCACUGUGCAAACACGAAAGUGGACGUAUACGGUGUGACGCCUGCCCGGUGCCGGAAGGUUAAUUGAUGGGGUUAGCGGUAACGCGAAGCUCUUGAUCGAAGCCCCGGUAAACGGCGGCCGUAACUAUAACGGUCCUAAGGUAGCGAAAUUCCUUGUCGGGUAAGUUCCGACCUGCACGAAUGGCGUAAUGAUGGCCAGGCUGUCUCCACCCGAGACUCAGUGAAAUUGAACUCGCUGUGAAGAUGCAGUGUACCCGCGGCAAGACGGAAAGACCCCGUGAACCUUUACUAUAGCUUGACACUGAACAUUGAGCCUUGAUGUGUAGGAUAGGUGGGAGGCUUUGAAGUGUGGACGCCAGUCUGCAUGGAGCCGACCUUGAAAUACCACCCUUUAAUGUUUGAUGUUCUAACGUGGGCCCCUUACCGGGGUUGCGGACAGUGUCUGGUGGGUAGUUUGACUGGGGCGGUCUCCUCCUAAAGAGUAACGGAGGAGCACGAAGGUUGGCUAAUCCUGGUCGGACAUCAGGAGGUUAGUGCAAUGGCAUAAGCCAGCUUGACUGCGAGCGUGACGGCGCGAGCAGGUGCGAAAGCAGGUCAUAGUGAUCCGGUGGUUCUGAAUGGAAGGGCCAUCGCUCAACGGAUAAAAGGUACUCCGGGGAUAACAGGCUGAUACCGCCCAAGAGUUCAUAUCGACGGCGGUGUUUGGCACCUCGAUGUCGGCUCAUCACAUCCUGGGGCUGAAGUAGGUCCCAAGGGUAUGGCUGUUCGCCAUUUAAAGUGGUACGCGAGCUGGGUUUAGAACGUCGUGAGACAGUUCGGUCCCUAUCUGCCGUGGGCGCUGGAGAACUGAGGGGGGCUGCUCCUAGUACGAGAGGACCGGAGUGGACGCAUCACUGGUGUUCGGGUUGUCAUGCCAAUGGCACUGCCCGGUAGCUAAAUGCGGAAGAGAUAAGUGCUGAAAGCAUCUAAGCACGAAACUUGCCCCGAGAUGAGUUCUCCCUGACUCCUUGAGAGUCCUGAAGGAACGUUGAAGACGACGACGUUGAUAGGCCGGGUGUGUAAGCGCAGCGAUGCGUUGAGCUAACCGGUACUAAUGAACCGUGAGGCUUAACCUUACAACGCCGAAG
rnacentral:rRNA from 1 species